rnacentral:rRNA from 1 species
GAUGAACGCUAGCUACAGGCUUAACACAUGCAAGUCGCGGGGUCUGUUUCGGCAGACGACCGGCGCACGGGUGAGUAACGCGUAUCCAACCUGCCCCUCUCUUUGGCAUAGCCUUUCGAAAGAGAGAUUAAUUCCGAAUAACAUAGUAACGUUGCCUGAUGAUACUAUGAAAGCUCCGGCGGAGAGGGAUGGGGAUGCGUUCCAUUAGGUAGUAGGCGGGGUAACGGCCCACCUAGCCGACGAUGGAUAGGGGUUCUGAGAGGAAGGUCCCCCACAUUGGAACUGAGACACGGUCCAAACUCCUACGGGAGGCAGCAGUGAGGAAUAUUGGUCAAUGGACGAAAGUCUGAACCAGCCAAGUAGCGUGAAGGAAGACUGCCCUAUGGGUUGUAAACUUCUUUUGUUCGGGAAUAAAGUGCAGUACGCGUACUGUUUUGAUGUACCGUUCGAAUAAGCAUCGGCUAAUUCCGUG